UUGAAUUGCGGCGAUGAAGUUCGCCCUGAACCGCCCCGGGCCAGGGGAUGAUGACUUCUACUUCGAA
rnacentral:ncRNA from 24 species